rnacentral:misc_RNA from 1 species
GAUGAAGAACGUAGCGAAAUGCGAUACUUGGUGUGAAUUGCAGAAUCCCGUGAACCAUCGAGUCUUUGAACGCAAGUUGCGCCCGAAGCCAUCAGGUUGAGGGCACGUCUGCCUGGGCGUCACAUAUCGUUGCCCAAUGCCUAUUGCAGUGCAAUAGGAAUUUCUAGGGCGAAUGAUGGCUUCCCGUGAGCGUUGUUGCCUCGCGGUUGGUUGAAAAUCGAGUCCUUGGUAGGGUGUGCCAUGGUAGAUGGUGGUUGAGUUAGAACGAUACCGAUCAUGUGCAUGCUCCCCAAAAUAUGGCCUCUAUGACCCACACGCGUCUUUUGACGCUCAUGACGAGACCUCAGGUCAGGCGGGGCUACCCGCUGAAUUUAAGCAUAUCAAUAAGCGGAGGA